rnacentral:lncRNA from 1 species
CACGCGCUUUGGUGUACAUCAGUGACGAUCAUCACGUCCUUCUAAGUUUUAUCUUAUCUGCUGUCCAAGAUUUUCCCAACAAGUCUAAUAUUGGCCAUUAUUGUACUCUUGAGUUAUGCUGUAAUUGGUUUCCGUUUCCUGUAUGACGUCAUAAUCACGGGAAGGGGCAUUGCUUGGAUGUUUUAUGGAACAAAGUACCUUAUUGAAGUCUUAGAACAAAAAGAUGAAAGUCCCGAUAGGAAUGCAUUUUUUGAUCCGCCAAGACAGAGAUUUGAUCGUAAAUAUUACAGAAGGCAAAGAUGCAUUGAACUUGAAUCAGAAUAAAUGAAAAUAGCUUAAUAUUUAGUGGUCUAUAAGAUAUUCGCCAAAUAUUUCCUAAGAAAUAAUAUAGAUUAGCAAUAAAAUUUUCU